rnacentral:rRNA from 1 species
AUUGAACGCUGGCGGCAUGCCUUACACAUGCAAGUCGAACGGCAGCACGGGAGCAAUCCUGGUGGCGAGUGGCGAACGGGUGAGUAAAGUAUCGGAACGUGCCCAGUCGUGGGGGAUAACGUAGCGAAAGUUACGCUAAUACCGCAUACGAGCUAUGGAGGAAAGCGGGGGAACGCAAGACCCCGCGCGAUUGGAGCGGCCGAUAUCAGAUUGGGUAGUUGGUGGGGUAAAGGCUCACCAAGCCGACGAUCUGUAGCUGGUCUGAGAGGACGACCAGCCACUGGGACUGAGACACGGCCCAGACUCUUACGGGAGGCAGCAGUGGGGAAUUUUGGACAAUGGGCGAAAGCCUGAUCCAGCCAUGCCGCGUGCAGGAUGAAGGCCUUCGGGUUGUAAACUGCUUUUGUACGGAACGAAAAGGUUUGGCCUAAUAAGCUGAGCUCAUGACGGUACCGUAAGAAUAAGCACCGGCUAACUACGUGCCAGCCGCCGCCGUAA